AGAAUCAACGCUGGCGGCGUGCCUAACACAUGCAAGUCGAACGAGAAAGUGGAGCAAUCCAUGAGUAAAGUGGCGCACGGGUGAGUAACACGUGACUAACCUACCCUUGAGUGGGGGAUAACCUAGGGAAACCUGGGCUAAUACCGCAUAAUACCUUCGGGUCAAAGGAGCAAUUCGCUUAAGGAGGGGGUCGCGGCCGAUUAGUUAGUUGGCGGGGUAAUGGCCCACCAAGACUGUGAUCGGUAUCCGGCCUGAGAGGGCGCACGGACACACUGGAACUGAAACACGGUCCAGACUCCUACGGGAGGCAGCAGUGGGGAAUUUUGCGCAAUGGGGGAAACCCUGACGCAGCAACGCCGCGUGGAGGAUGAAGCCCCUUGGGGCGUAAACUCCUUUCGAUCGGGACGAUUAUGACGGUACCGGAAGAAGAAGCCCCGGCUAACUUCGCGCCAGCAGCCGC
rnacentral:rRNA from 1 species